rnacentral:rRNA from 1 species
AUGUCAAGACCAGGUAAGGUUCUUCGCGUUGCAUCGAAUUAAACCACAUGCUCCACCGCUUGUGCGGGCCCCCGGUCAAUUCAUUUGAGUUUUAACCUUGCGGCCGUACUCCCCAGGCGGUCUACUUAUUGCGUUAGCUGCGUCACUAAGUCCUCAAGGGACCCAACGACUAGCAGACAUCGUUUACGGCGUGGACUACCAGGGGUAUCUAAUCCUGUUUGCUACCCACGCUUUCGAGCCUCAGUGUCAGUAUGAUGCCAGAAGGCUGCCUUCGCCAUCGGUAUUCCUCCAGAUCUCUACGCAUUUCACCGGUGCACCUGAAUUCUACCUUCCUCUCACCUACUCUAGCCUAACAGUUUCAGAUGCAGUUCCCAGGUUAAGCCCGGGGAUUUCACAUCUGACUUAUCAAGCCACCUACGCUCGCUUUACGCCCAGUAAUUCCGAUUAACGCUUGCACCCUCUGUAUUACCGCGGCUGCUGGCACAGAAUUAGC